GUGGGUAAUCUGCCUGGGAGCGGGGGAUAACCUGGGGAAACUCGGGCUAAUACCGCAUACGUCGACGGAGCUGCGGCUCCGCCAAGAAAGCUGGCCUCUGCUUGCAAGCUAGCACUCCCAGAGGAGCCCGCGGCUGAUUAGCUAGUUGGUGAGGUAACGGCCCACCAAGGCGACGAUCAGUAGCCGGCCUGAGAGGGUGAUCGGCCACACUGGGACUGAGACACGGCCCAGACUCCUACGGGAGGCAGCAGUGGGGAAUAUUGGACAAUGGGCGCAAGCCUGAUCCAGCAACGCCGCGUGGAGGACGAAGGUCUUCGGAUCGUAAACUCCUGUCAGGCGGGACGAACGGGCGUCGGUAAACAAUCGGCGUCUCUGACGGUACCGCCAGAGGAAGCCCCGGCUAACUCCGUGCCAGCAGCCGCGGUAAUACGGAGGGGGCAAGCGUUAUUCGGAAUUAUUGGGCGUAAAGGGCGCGUAGGCGGCGUGGUAAGUCAAAGGUGAAAUCCCUCGGCUCGACUGAGGAACUGCCUUUGAAACUACCGCGCUUGAGGCCGGGAGGGGGUAGCGGAAUUCCCAGUGUAGCGGUGAAAUGCGUAGAUAUUGGGAGGAACACCAGUGGCGAAGGCGGCUACCUGGACCGGUUC
rnacentral:rRNA from 1 species